rnacentral:misc_RNA from 1 species
AACCUAGCACACCUGCGGUGUGUACCUGCGGAAGGAUCAUUAACCUUUCAAAUCAGGGUGCGGCGCGGCCCCCGAGGAGCGGAAACAAUCCUUGGGAGGUAUGCGGGGGCUUCGAGCCCCCCCAUUUACGCACGCACGACUGCCAUCCUUACUUUACGAGCACCUUCUGUUCUCCCUCGGCGGGGCAACCUGCCGUUGGAACCGAAUAAACUCUUUUUGCAUCUAGCAUUACCUGUUCCG